rnacentral:ncRNA from 2 species
UUGUUUUUGCGGAAUGUUGGUGCUGCUAGGCAGCUUAAUAGGGAAUCUGGUGAAAAUCCAGAACUGUCCCCGCAACUGUAAGUGUGGAUGAAAUGAGACAACCACUGUAUAAGAGAGCUGAAAGGUGCUUAUACGGGAAGGCUCAGAGUAAAGAGAAGCACAAGUCAGGAGACCUGCCAUCAUUUCUCAGUCAGC